GGAGCACUGUCACCAAAGCAACUCGACUCAACACUGUUGCCUUGGUGAUUUCCAUGGUGAUUGCUGAAGUCACAAAGCCUGCAUUUGGAGGAGGCAGUUAGGAUCCCCGGUCCCCUUUCUCUGUGGGCUGAGGUGUAUUAUUAGCUGCCUGGCACACUGCCUGUCCUUCUUCCUCCUGUUGUGUCCAACCCAGCCACAUAACACACUGUAUCUACCGGAGAGGAUUUUAGCUUUACAGAGCUGUAACUGAGGAUCACUGGCUGAUAAGGUAACAUUGAUUUGAUUUCACACGGGCUGGAUGACAGAAUGCAUUGUCCUGUGUGUGUGUGUGUGUGUGUGUGUGUGUGUGUGUGUGUGUGUGUGUGUGUGUGUGUGUGUGUGUGUGUGUGUGUGUGCGUGUGUGCGUGUGUGCAUGUGUGCGUGGGUGUGUGGGUGCGUGCGUGCAUGGGUGCGUGCGUGCUUGGGUGCGUGGGUGCGUGGGUGCGUGCGUGCAUGGGUGCGUGCGUGGGUGCGUGCAUGGGUGCGUGCGUGGGUGCGUGCGUGGGUGGGUGCGUGCGUGGGUGCGUGAGUGGGUGCGUGCGUGGGUGCGUGCGUGCGUUCGUGCGUGGGUGCGUGCGUGGGUGUGUGAGUGGGUGCGUGCGUGCGUGGGUGCGUGUGUGCGUUCGUGCGUGGGUGGGUGCGUGUGUGGUGCGUGCGUGGGUGCGUGCGUGGGAGGGUGGUGCGUGCGUGCGUGCGUGGGUGCGUGCGUGCGUGGGUGCGUGCGUGCGUGGGUGCGUGCGUGCGUGGGUGCGUGAGUGGGUGCGUGCGUGGGUGCGUGCGUGCGUGCGUGCGUGGGUGCGUGCGUGCGUGCGUGCGUGCGUGGGUGCGUGCGUGGGUGCGUGAGUGGGUGCGUGCGUGCGUGGGUGCGUGCGUGCGUGCGUGCGUUCGUGCGUGGGUGGGUGCGUGAGUGGGUGCGUGCGUGGGUGGGUGCGUAUUCCUCUCUUCCAGUGGUUGUUUUAUGAUUGUUCCGCUCCACUUCGACAGGGACCUCCUCUGGAGCUGAAUGCGGAUGGCAUGGAGCUCUGCUCUAACAGAACACAAGUGUCACGCUGCUGUAGAGAUCAAAAGAGCUGGGAGCUUGGACUGUCACCUGCCAUUCAUUUCCCCUGGGCAGUAAGGCUGGGUGGAUGGAUGACUCAGAGCCAGCAGGGAUGGUAUCAGUAGCAUUGACAGAAAAGACCCUGACACUACAGGAUGGGAUAUUCUAGUCACUGCUGUCUGUUUGUGUAGACAGCUCUCAAAUGGCACUUUUGUAUUCCUUAUACAGUGCAUUACUUUGGAUCAGACCAGUGUAAUAACAUAAUCAAAUAGAACAAAGUUAAUUAUAGGAUCUCUGUAGGUACAACCAAGUAGUGCGCUAGUGAAUAAGGUAUCAGCAGCCUCUGUGUUGCACUUGCAGUGAUGCAGAGUGAAUAGGUUGUGGGGAUGCAUCAGACUAACAGUAAGGAGACCUUGGCAGCACAUCAUUUCACUUCGUCACCAAUGUGCCACUGGCUCUUGUCUGUUCAGACCUCUCUCUCAUUCCCUCCAUCUCAAUCCCUCUCUCCUUUCUUAUUUCUCUCUCUCCCGUUAUCCCUCUGCUCUUCCUCUUACCCCUCUCUCUCUGUCUUUCCCAGAGUGACCUGGCACAAGACAUGCAUUCUGGAGUGCUGUCAGGUGUAAAGACAAUUGGCUCCCAGCCCAGAUGCAGUACAAACAACAAAGAAACAAACAAAAACCUCACCCAGCCACAGAAAAUACAUUAUGUACUCUACUAUAUGCCAAGUCAUGUGUCAUAUACAUUGCCUUUUUACACGUUGUUACGUUACAGCCCUAUUCUAAAAUGUGUUACAUUGUUUUUCGCCAUCAUCAAUCUACACACAAUACCCCAUAAUAACAAAGCAAAAACAGUUUUUUAGAAAUGUUUGCUAAUUUAUAAGAAAUAAAAAACUGAAAUAUCACAUUUACAUAAGUAUUCAGACCAUUUAUUAAGUACUUUGUUGAAGCACCAUUGGUAGCAGUUACAGCCUCGAGUCUUCAUGGGUAUGAUGCUACAACCUCGGCACAACUGUAUUUGGGGAGUUUCUCCCAUUCUUCUCUGCAGAUCCUCUCAAGCUCUAUCAGGUUGGAUGGGGAAUGUUGCUGCACAGCUAUUUUCAGGUCUCUCCAGAGAUGUUCGAUCGGGUUCAAGUGCGUGCUCUGGCUGGGCCACUCAAGGACAUUCAGACACUUGUGCCGAAGCCACUCUUGCAUUGUCUUGGCUGUGUGCUUAGGGUCGUUGUUCUGUUGGAAGGUGAACCUUCACCAAAGACUGAGGUCCUGAGCGGUCUGGAGCAAGUUUUCAUCAAGGAUCUCUCUGUACUUUGCUCUGUUCAUCUUUGCCUCGAUCCUGGCUAGUCUCCCAGUCCCUGCCGCUGAAAAACAUCCCCACAGCAUGAUGUUGCCACCACCAUGCUUCAUCGUAGGGACGGUGCCAGGUUUCCUCCAAACGUGACACUUGGCAUUCAGGCAAAAGAGUUCAAUCUUGGAUACAUCAUCACCAGAGAAUCUUGUUUUUCAUGGUCUGAGAGUCUUUUGGUGCCUUUUGGCAAACUCCAAGUGGGCUGGCAUGUGCCUCUUACUGAGGAGUGGCUUCCGUCACGCCACUCUUCCAUAUAGGCCUGAUUGAUGGAGUGCUGCAGAGAUGGUUGUCCUUGUGGAAGGAUCUCCCAUCUCCACAGAGGAACUCUAGAGCUCUGUCAGAGUGACCAUCGGGUUCUGGGUCACCCCCCUGACCAAGGCCCUUCUCCCCCAGUUGCUCAGUUUGGCUUGGUGGCCAGCUCUAGGAAGAGUCUUGGUAGUUCCAAACUUCUCCCAUUUAAUGAUGGUGACCAAUGUGUUCUUGGGGACCUUCAAUGCUGCAGAAAUGCGCCUUGACACAAUCCUGUCUCAGAGCUCUAUGGACUAUUCCUUUGACCUCAUGGCUUGGUUUUUGCUCUGAUAUGCACUGUCAACUGUGGGACCUUAUAUAGACAGGUGUGUGACUUUCCAAAUCAUGUCCAAUCAAUUGAAUUUACCACAGAUGGACUCCAAUAAAGUUGUAGAAAUGUCUUGGGGAUGAUCAAUGGAAACAGAAUGACCCUGAGCUUAAUUUCGAGUCUCACAGCAAAGGAUCUGAACAUUUAUGAAAAUAAGGUAUUUCUGUUUUAGUUUUUUAUACACUUGCAAAAAAAAUUACAUCUGCUUUUGCUUUGUCAUUAUUGGGUAUUGUGUGUAGAUUGGUGUUGAUUAUUCUUUAUUUAAUCCAAUUCAGAAUAAGGCUGUAAUGUAACAAAAUGUGGAAAAAGUCAAGGGGUCUGAAUACUUUCUGAAGGCACCGUACACCACAAUACUGCUAAUAUUCCACUUUAAUUUGGAUGAGUGAUCUUUAAUCAACUAAAACCCUUUUAGUAGCCUUUUUCGGGGUCAUUCCCCUGUACCUGGGCCAACCCUUUAAAGUGUCUCUUAAUAUCAGUAGUGCAUUUUGUAAAUGGGGGAUGUUGACCUUGUCGCCCUGGUAAAAGUAGCUGAUGAAAGCUCCAUCUCUCCUCCACCUCUCCUCUGGCCUCUGUCGCAUUCUGUCUAUCCUCACUCGGCUCCUCCACUGACAGUGUGUGUUUCUGAGUCAGACAGCAACGACUGCGGCUCUUGGAGCUAUCUCACCCAAUGGAAAUGUCAGCGAAUGUCUCAGAUUCUCAUCCCAAAAUGUCAGCACCUUGGACCAAGCAGAUGGCCUGCAGAGCUGAGAAGCUGUAGCUGUCUGACAUUUCACAGGCCAGGGUGGUGCUCCUGGUAGUGCCUCACAGACUGAAACUGUGAAGCACUACCAGAAAUUGUCCAAUAAGAAAUGCUUGUAUUUGAUAUGUUUGCUAUGUGUGCCUUAAUGAAUACAGCAGGCAAUAAUAACACAUUAACAACACGAGUAAUAGAGUAGCCCGCCAUUAGAGGCUGAGGUUUUCCUCAUCUGAUAUUGAAGGUCGUAGUGUGCCAGCCUGCUACUGGGCGAAGUAGGUAGAGCUGCAGAGAGUUGCAGCCUCUGUGUGUAACCAUCUAUUCUAUAAACCCCCACUUGUCUAUUUAUGAAAACUGAACUCUCGCUUCUGAAGGCUUUCUCCUUGAGACCCCGCAUCACACACACAAACACAUGGACGCAUCACACACACACACACACACACACACAGAGAGAGACAGAGAGAGAGAGAGAGAGAGAGAGAGAGAGAGAAUGCAUGAAGCUGGAUCUUCAAAAGGUGUCUGAGGAUGUGUCCAAAUGACACCAUAUUCUUUUUAUAGUGCACUACUUUUUGGCCAGGGUUCAUAGGGCUCUAGUCAAAUGUUGUGCACUAUAUAGGGAAUAUGGUGCCAUUUGGGAAGCACACUGAGAGUCUCCUGGCACAAAUGCUUUAACUACUCCACUGCCAUCUCUUUAGUGAGCUUUGAGAUGAAUACAUCUCUUCCGAUUCUGACAGCAGCUUCGUUCCACUUAAAUAACUUGGGUUGGUUUUAUUUUUAGCAAUACUGCAGACUAAGGUAACCAGGGCUGGAAGGGGAGCUAGCCGGUCGUCCGUUCUAUCACCUGUGUAAAUCUCAUGCUUCAUGAACUAAUGUCUGUCUCUGUUCACUGCUUAGGUGAAAGCUCAUCUGGGUGUCUCGGGUGGAUUCUGCUGUAGCACUAAACAAGACCACCUUCUCCUCUCUCCCUCCACUUUUAAUUAUCUGCCUCCCUAAGCUCUCUCUCACACACAGAAACACACACACAGGUACACACACACACACUCUCUCUCUCUCUCUCUCUCCCUCUCUUUAUAGGGAUUAUUCUAAUAUUUCACUGGCUAUGUGUUGCAUCAGCAGGAAUUACAUUUUGGGGCUGUGUGACAUGUUUCCUCCUUGACAAGCUGUUAGGCGGAAAGCCUCCCUCUGAGUCUAGCUGCUAGUAGAACAGACACACAGACACACACCAGCUAAUGAAAUGCUGCUUAUCCAUAUUUAAUGAGGAUUUAUCACAGACCGUUUGACCUAGUAUUGCUGUAGAGGAGUUGUGAGGAACCAGGCUAUUCAGAAUGGAUCAUGGUCUCAAAACACCCAUUUAAGUUGAGUCCUUCAUGGAUCAUUCAUGCACGGGAGCGUGCACGGACGCACGGACGCACGCAGACACAAACUCCCACACCCUCACACACCUGCUUUCCUACAAACCUGCACACUCAAAUACGGUCUCUCCCACACUCUUUCUUUCUCUCUCUCUCUCUCCAUCUCUCUCUCUCUCUCUCUCUCUCUCUCUCUCUCUCUCUCUCUCUCACUGUGCCACACACCCCUACACACAAUGUCUCGAUCUACCCUUUCUAUUACCCUUUCCAUGAGGCAUCAUCAUCACCAUAGAAACUCCUCUGUGGCGUUACUGGCGAGCCUCUAUCUCUCAGGUGUAGGGCAGAUACCCAUGGCAGAUACCCAUGGGGUUGGAGUUCUGUAUCCCAUUUUCACUUCUGAAUUAUCAUCUCACACAGAUAGACACACAGACAGUCAGGCAGGCACACAGACAGGCAUACACACUCACGACUCCCCCUACCCCGCCCUGAUGCACACACACACAUAAAUCCCCCAGGAUAUUCUGUAGAUGGUCGGUAGAUUAGAACUACCUGCGUGCAGAGUGCAAGGUCAGCUGUGUUAAUUCUGCCUCAUGAGCAAAAAACAACAUGUUUAUUUGCCCAGCCUUCUGGGCUAGCGAGCCUGACUGGGCUCAGUCCCACCCUAUAGGCAGUAGGGAGAUGUGAGUCACUGUUGUCAGGUAAGAAAUGGAGGGAUGGGAGAUGAAGAGGAAGGAAAGGGGGAAGAGAAAGUGUAGUGAACCACGAGAUGAGUUCAUCAGAACAGCUAAUAUGGCAUAUAGUCUAAUACUGUAGCCUACUAUAUUUAGAGCAUCAGAGCAGACAGUGCCAUAGACACUGCAUGGUUCCCAAUGACAUGACGUGGGGAUGAGAAACAGACCAUACAGUAUGUGACACUGGGAUCAGCUGUACUCCUUAGCACAUUGGCACAACCCCCCCUUGGGUUGUGCCGUGGCGGAGAUCUUUGUGGGCUAUACUCGGCCUUGUCUCAGGAUGGUAAGUUGGUGGUUGAAGAUAUCCCUCUAGUGGUGUGGGGGCUGUGCUUUGGCAAAGUGGGUGGGGUUAUAUCCUGCUUGUUCGGCCCUGUCCGGGGGAUAUCGUUGUACGGGGCCACAGUGUCUCCUGAACCCUCCUGUCUCAGCCUCCAGUAUUUAUGCUGCAGUAGUUUAUGUGUUGGGGGACUGGAGUCAGUCUGUUAUAUCUGGAGUAUUUAUCCUGUCUUAUCCGGUGUCCUGUCUGAAUUUAAGUAUGCUCUUUCUAAUUCUUUCUCUCUUUUUCUCUCUUUCUCUUUCUUUCUCUCUUUCUUUCUUUGUCUCUCUCGGAGGACCUGAGCCCUAGGAUCAUGCCUCAGGACUACCUGGCCUGACGACUCCUUGCUGUCCCCAGUCCACCUGGCCGUGCUGCUGCUCCAGUUUCAAUUGUUCUGCCUGCGGCUAUGGAACCCUGUCCUGUUCACCGGACGUGUUACCUGUCCCAGACCUGCUGCAACUCUCUAGAGACAGCAGGAGCGGUAGAGAUAUUCUGAAUGAUCGGCUAUGAAAAGCCAACUGACAUUUACUCAAGAGCUGCUGACCUGUUGCACCCUCGACAACCACUGUGAUUAUUAUUAUUUGACCCUGCUGGUCAUCUAUGAACAUUUUAACAUCUUGGCCAUGUUCUGUUAUAAUCUCCACCCGGCACAGCCAGAAGAGGACUGGCCACCCCUCAUAGCCUGGUUCCUCUCUAUGUUUCUUCAUAGGUUCUGGCCUUUCUAGGGAGUUUUUCCUAGCCGCCGUGCUUCUACACCUACAUUGCUUGCUGUUUAGGGUUUUAGGCUGGGUUUCUGUACAGCACUUUGUGACAUUAGCUGGUGUAAGAAGGGCUUUAUAAAUAAAUACAUUUGAUUGAUUGUCCCUCCAUGUCUAAGAACCACAGAUGUAUGAAUAAAUAAAAAAAUCUAGUGGCCCUUGACGUACGUGGUUCUUAUGAGAGGAGUGCACUGUAUCAGAAUCACAUGAUGUGUUGUUGGUCAGGAGAUUGAUGUGGCCAUAGAUAACAGCUGAGAGCAGAGCAGACAAACCCACUCCAACCCAGUGAAUAGCAGGGGAAAUAGUUCCCUAUGGAUGACGGAGACAGCACUGGAGCACAAUGCGAACCGUAUAGGACCUCACACAGACUGCAUUGUGUAUGUGGAAGAAUUUGUACUGAAGGAACAAACUAAGAACUGGGGGAGUGCUUACAGUGGCUUGCGAAAGUAUUCACCCCCCUUGCCAUUUUUUCUAUUUUGCUGUCUUACAACCUGGAAUUAA
ensembl:lncRNA